rnacentral:rRNA from 1 species
CAAACCCAUGUGAACGUACCUUCUGUUGCUUCGGCAGGCGAAAGCCUGCCGGUGGCCCAUCAAACUCUGUUUAUUAUUGAAGCUCUGAAAAUAUAACUAAAUAAGUUAAAACUUUCAACAACGGAUCUCUUGGUUCUGGCAUCGAUGAAGAACGCAGCGAAAUGCGAUAAGUAAUGUGAAUUGCAGAAUUUAGUGAAUCAUCGAAUCUUUGAACGCACAUUGCGCCCAUCAGUAUUCUGAUGGGCAUGCCUGUUCGAGCGUCAUUUCAACCCUUAAGCCUCUGUUGCUUAGUGUUGGGGGCCUACAGCGCUGUAGCCCCUGAAAGUUAGUGGCGGAGUCGGUAUCGCACUUUAGACGUAGUAAAUGUUUUAUCUCGCCUAUGGUUAUACCGGUCCCCUGCCGUAAAACACCCCAAUUUUUAAA